GUGCAUGGCGGCCGCUUACCAUGCAGUCGAACGAUGGAAGCCGCUUCGGUGGUGGAUUAGUGGCGAACGGGUGAGUAACACGUGGGCAAUCUGCCCUUCACUCUGGGACAAGCCCUGGAAACGGGGUCUAAUACCGGAUAACACUCUGUCCCGCAUGGGACGGGGUUGAAAGCUCCGGCGGUGAAGGAUGAGCCCGCGGCCUAUCAGCUUGUUGGUGGGGUAAUGGCCUACCAAGGCGACGACGGGUAGCCGGCCUGAGAGGGCGACCGGCCACACUGGGACUGAGACACGGCCCAGACUCCUACGGGAGGCAGCAGUGGGGAAUAUUGCACAAUGGGCGAAAGCCUGAUGCAGCGACGCCGCGUGAGGGAUGACGGCCUUCGGGUUGUAAACCUCUUUCAGCAGGGAAGAAGCGCAAGUGACGGUACCUGCAGAAGAAGCGCCGGCUAACUACGUGCCAGCAGCCGCGGUAAUACGUAGGGCGCAAGCGUUGUCCGGAAUUAUUGGGCGUAAAGAGCUCGUAGGCGGCUUGUCACGUCGGAUGUGAAAGCCCGGGGCUUAACCCCGGGUCUCCAUUUCGCAUACGGGGCUAGCUCAGAGUGUGGUAGGGGAGACUCGGAAUUCCUGGUGUAGCGGUGAAAUGCGCACAUAUCAGGAGGAACGCCGGCGGCCGAAAGGCGGAUCUCUGGGCACAUUACUGAACCCUCCAGGAGCGAAAUGCGUGUGGGACGCGAACCACGGAUUUAGAUACCCUGGAAGGUCCACGACUGGAAACGUAGAGCAACUAGGCGCUGGGCGACAUUCCACGUCGAUAGGUGCCGCAGUUCUAACGCAUUAACGUGCCACCUGCCUGAGGGAGCCACGCGCCGCAAGGACUAAAACUCAAAUGGAAUUGACGGGGGCCCGCACAAGCAGCGGAGCAUGUGGCUUAAUUCGACGCAACGCGAAGAACCUUACCAAGGCUUGACAUAUACCGGAAAGCAUCAGAGAUGGUGCCCCCCUUGUGGUCGGUAUACAGGUGGUGCAUGGCUGUCGUCAGCUCGUGUCGUGAGAUGUUGGGUUAAGUCCCGCAACGAGCGCAACCCUUGUUCUGUGUUGCCAGCAUGCCCUUCGGGGUGAUGGGGACUCACAGGAGACUGCCGGGGUCAACUCGGAGGAAGGUGGGGACGACGUCAAGUCAUCAUGCCCCUUAUGUCUUGGGCUGCACACGUGCUACAAUGGCCGGUACAAUGAGCUGCGAUGCCGCGAGGCGGAGCGAAUCUCAAAAAGCCGGUCUCAGUUCGGAUUGGGGUCUGCAACUCGACCCCAUGAAGUCGGAGUUGCUAGUAAUCGCAGAUCAGCAUUGCUGCGGUGAAUACGUUCCCGGGCCUUGUACACACCGCCCGUCACGUCACGAAAGUCGGUAACACCCGAAGCCGGUGGUAGCAGUCUGCUCUGUGGCUACGAGAGCGGUCGACAGCCGCCCCCUA
rnacentral:rRNA from 1 species